UACGUAGGGGGCAAGCGUUGUCCGGAAUCAUUGGGCGUAAAGCGCGUGUAGGCGGUUCGGUAAGUCCGCUGUGAAAGUCGGGGGCUCAACCCUCGAAAGCCGGUGGAUACUGUCGGGCUAGAGUACGGAAGAGGCGAGUGGAAUUCUCGGUGUAGCGGUGAAAUGCGUAGAUAUCGAGAGGAACACCUGCGGCGAAGGCGGGUUGCUGGGCCGACACUGACGCUGAGGCGCGAAAGCCAGGGGAGCGAACGGG
rnacentral:rRNA from 1 species